rnacentral:lncRNA from 1 species
GGCGGGGUGGGCAGGAGGCCCUGAGCCCGGACCUGUGAGUGUUGCUGCAGGAGCAAGGAUUUUGCAGGUUUAAUUAAAUAAAGAGCCUCAGGAUGGGGGAGUAGGCCAGAGAAGACCCACCCAGCGCGGGGCGCAACCUUGCAUCUGUUCCCUGUGUGUGUCCCAGGCUGGGACCGGCAGGCGCUCAGGAGCGCGGUGACCAAAGGCCCACAGAGCCAACGUGCUUCCUGGCACUUGCUCAGACCACCUGGAUUCUGGUCAGCAGCUUUGGGGACAGUGACCUGACCUCUCAGACCCCAUCAUCCUCACUCGAGGCCACCCAGUCACAGGGCAGAUGGGGGCCCGUGUCAGGCCCACUGACACCCUCUGUCCCCAACCCAGCCACCUGCCCCCUCCUGGUUUUCCCACAGGGAGCCAGAUCCCAGGGUGCGGAGCUGUCAACUCUCAGGCCCCGCUUUGUGGCUUGGUAUUCUGUCAGGGGCUGCCGUCCCACUUCCGAGGGCUCGGGCCAGCCACAGGGGUCGGGUGCAGGACCGACCAGCAGGGGGUGCUGGUGGUUCAAGACAGCCAGCCCCAGCCGUUCCCGGAGGACUCCCAUCUCUGUGACACUCAACCCUCCUGGGGGCUCCGCGGCCUUCCCUCCCGCCCGGUGCUUCCCAGCAGCCCCACACUCUGGCCACCCGCAGGCCCUCGCCAACCGCCAAACUGCCCAACCGCCCGGGGUGCUAGAUUCCAAAGGACUGAGGGGCUCACCUUCCAGCCCCACCAGCCAGGCUGCCUUUACUGACGGGCGGGAAUGUCAUGCUGGGCAGGGGUGCAGGGACGAAUCAGGCACAGCCCUGUCCCUGGGGCCUCCGACAGAGACCCCAGAUGGGUCCCAUGAUUUCAGAACGAGCGUGCCAACCCACAGAGACCCCUACUCAGAGGGGUGUCUACUCCAGUCCCCAAGAACCCGUCAGCAGCCUCCCGCGAAGGAAGCUGACCUCCAGGCCGAGGCCAGACAGGAGGGGCAGGACCAGGUGGGCCUCGAGGCCUGGCCCUCUGCCCUCCUCAGCCCGAGCAGGUUGGGGCCCUGGUGGUGCCCUUCUUCCUGGGCUCCAGGACGCCGCUACAUGCUCAUAAAGAAGAUGCCCCGGGCUGGGACACAGCUCAGAUGGCAGAGUGCCUGCCUCGCGUGCACCAGCCCUGGGUUCAGUCCCCAGCACCACACACACACACACACACACACACACACACACACACACACACGCAGCAUUCUCUGCCCUGACACCUGAGAUUUAGCAAUACCACCCAUGGGUGACUUGACAGGUCUCCUGCUGUGACCCUGGAAUCUGGUCCUUUUCCCUUGAUCAAUGGAUCAGACACAGACCCAUGGGGAGAAAGAGGCCCAGCAUUUCCCGGGCCGUGGCCUCCGCUUCUGCCUCACCUGACGCGGAAGCCUUUUGCGGUAAGGCUUCGGCUUUACAGGAACAUGCAACAGAAAGAAUAGGAACUCAGGGGCUCCGACCAGCUCCAUGAGGGUUUCGUAUUGUUUUGUCAUGUUAAGCAGUUCCAAGAAAAGUGAAGUCACAGCCGGCUGCUCCUUUUCAGUUCUUAGAACAGAGCUGAUUUCAAAAGGGAAGCUGUGCGGCCCUCGCACACGCCCAGGGCUCCUGAGCUGGCUUUGAUUUGGCACCCAAAACUGAAGCCUCCGGAUGCGUUUUCAUCUGGUGAUAUCAAGGAGGAAACGUCCUGUUGAGAGAGUGUGCAGCGCGCUGGCUGUUGCGCCCAGCGGGCCGCCACCAGCCCUGGGGCCACCAGCUGUUUGGGGGACAGUUGGAAAAGACAGAACCCUCCUUCCUCCACCCCACACUCUCAGCUACAGUGCCCAGGCAUCGGUGCCACCCACCAGCACGUUCUCAUUGGGGGUUGGCACUGCAGGUCAGGUGGCGACCGGGGCAGGACGCGGCUCAGGAGGUUCUCAGCAGCUCGGCCACUUUUCUAGCAGAAAAGCAGGUUUCAGAUAAGGAGGAACACGGCGGGCGGGCUGCAGGGGAGGGCCACUGUGGGUGAAAACCAGGAGUUCUGUGACCAAGAUCUACUCAGUCACAUCUCUGGCUGGGUGCAGUGGCGCCUGCCAAGUCACCUGCCAUCCCAGCAACUCGGGAGGUCAAGGCGGGAGGAUCACAAGGUCGAGGUCUCAGGCACUUAGUGAGAUCCUGUGACACAGUAAGAAAUAAAAAGAACUGGGUUGUGGCUCAGUGGUACGGUGCCCUGGGUUGGAUCCUCAGUACCAGACUAACAACACAGACGUGUGCGUACCCACACCUACACAUGUGUGCAUUUCUGGCUGGGAGUCUAGCUUCAUGGGAGAGCACUUACUUCCCUACUAAGUGUGCGGCCCUGGCCGUAAUGACGAUAACAGCACUGCACCUAAUAAUAAAACCCAAAGGGAGCCAAAGCAAUCCAGUGCUCAGGCAGGGAAACCUAGGAGUCACAAUGACCAGAUGCAACGUGUGUCCUGGUGGGGCUCUGGGAACACUGAGGCAGGAGGAUCGAGAGUUCAAAGCCAGCUUCAGAGACUUAGGGGCUAAGCCACUCAGUGAGACCUGUCUGUCGAUAAAAUAUAUAUAUGUUGAAAGAAAAAGGGGGUAGGGGCUGCGGCUGAGUGCUUAGGUACCCCAGGUUCAAUCCUGGAACCAAAAAUAAAAUAAAAUAAGAUGUUAGGAAAAAAAAUCUGAAUAAACUAUAUCCUUAAGAUUAAAAGCAUGUCAACCCGGGUCAUUAAUUAUAAUGAUGUGCCACACUUAAUGAGAUGUUAAUGAGGAAAGCUAGAUGCAGAAAUAUAGAAACUCUGUACAAUUUUUCUGUAGAUCUAAGUUUCUUUUUAAAAAUGCAC